rnacentral:lncRNA from 1 species
CAGCGAUGCCGCCGCCGGCCACAAGGUGGCAGUGCCGUGCUGCGUGGCUACACGCCCCUGGAAGCACCGGACCAGCCUUGGUCUGGCAAAAGUUUUCCAGUCUUUCCAGCAGAUGCGCCCAGGCCGUGAGCCCUCCCGGGCGGCCUGGAGGACUCCCGAAAGAAGCCUGGUGUAACUGAGUCUGGAAUUUUUGCUGGGCUUGCUAGGUCUACACUCUCCCACCUGUGCUCCGAGGAGAGGUGUAGACUAUCUCUUGGAUUUUGCUUGGAGGAUGUCCUUUCCGGACUCAGGACCUAGGAGAGACCAGCAGGAAACAGAACAGAGUCUACAUAGAUGUUUGUAGCUGGAGCCUACUCACCUACAGAGACCUCCUACAGAGGGGCUCUGCCCUGGCCUUUUGGGAUUCAGAGCUGAGGCGGGACACAGAGUUCGACAAAGCCAGAAGACUGAUAAUCUCAGACCUAACUGUACUGGGAGCUGGGAGCUGGGAGCUGUUGGCUUCAGGAAACUUAACCCUCUCUUGUUUAUUCUAUGGCCGAAAACUGCUGACUUCUUUUCGCUUUAACUCUGUGCUCUGGAGAAACUUAACUCUUUGUGCUUAAAUAAGCACUGGGGGUCACUUAACUCUUUGUUACUAUUCUGUGCUUUAAUAAACGCUG